AGCGAACGCUGGCGGCAGGCCUAACACAUGCAAGUCGAACGACCCCUUCGGGGGGAGUGGCGAACGGGUGCGUAAUACAUGGGAAUCUACCUUUUACUGGGGGAUAACAGUUGGAAACAGCUGCUAAUACCGCAUAAUACAUAUUGUCAAAGCUCCGGCGGUAGAAGAGGAGCCCAUGGUUGAUUAGCUAGUUGGUGGGGUAAAAGCCUACCAAGGCGACGAUCAAUAGCUGGUCUGAGAGGAUGAUCAGCCACACUGGAACUGAGACACGGUCCAGACUCCUACGGGAGGCAGCAGUGGGGAAUAUUGGACAAUGGGCGCAAGCCUGAUCCAGCCAUGCCGCGUGAGUGAUGAAGGUUUUCGGAUUGUAAAGCUCUUUCGAUGGGGAAGAUAAUGACGGUACCCAUAAAAGAAGUCCCGGCUAACUCCG
rnacentral:rRNA from 1 species